rnacentral:rRNA from 1 species
CAGUAGCCGCGGUAAUACGAAGGGUGCAAGCGUUACUCGGAAUUACUGGGCGUAAAGCGUGCGUAGGUGGUCGUUCAAGUCUGUUGUGAAAGCCCUGGGCUCAACCUGGGAACUGCAGUGGAUACUGGCUCGCUAGAGUGUGUCAGAGGAUGGUGGAAUUCCCGGUGUAGCGGUGAAAUGCGUAGAGAUCGGGAGGAACAUCAGUGGCGAAGGCGGCCAUCUGGGACAACACUGACGCUGAGGCACGAAAGCGUGGGGAGCAAACAGGAUUAGAUACCCCAGUAGUCCCUGUCUCUUAUAC